rnacentral:lncRNA from 1 species
UUUUUUAGAUAAGUAGUGGUUUUGCUAAUGGUAAGACAUGAGAAUGAUAUGUUUGGCAUGUUUAUCAAGAUUAACCCUCCUAUUUUUAUAGCACCAAGUUUGAUGAUACCUGUGAGUUAUUAUUGAUUGCCAUGAGAGACAUCACAAAAUGAGAGUGAUUGAGAGGUAUGGUUUGGAAUUGAUCACUUUUCAAUUUCAGUG